AUGUCAUUUCUAUGGAAGUCAAGCAAUGGUGGUACAACGGAGAAAACCUUGACCUUGGAAGAACAGCAAGAGAAAAUAAAUGAGGUACGAAAGCAACUUGAAGAACCCUCGUCGCUAGCAAUACAGGGUUUCCUUUCGGAUGCCUCGAUACUGAGAUUCCUUCGAGCUAGAAACUGGAAUGUGCAGAAAUCGAGUAAAAUGCUGAAAUCAGCUGUGAAGUGGCGAGCAGCAUACAAGCCAGAAAUGAUUUCCUGGGAAGAAAUUGCACAUGAAGCAGAGACUGGAAAGAUAUAUAGGGCUGACUACAAGGACAAACUUGGAAGAACUGUUCUUGUUCUGAGGCCAGGCUUAGAGAACACUACCUCGGGGAAGGAACAAAUUAAGUAUCUUGUUUACUCUCUGGAGAAAGCGAUUAUGAAUCUGACGGAUGAUCAGGAGAAGAUGGUGUGGAUGAUAGACUUCCAGGGCUGGACCAUGGGAAGCACACCGCUCAAGGUGACCCGGGAGACCGUGAGUGUCUUGCAAGACUGUUAUCCCGAGAGAUUGGGACUUGCAAUCCUUUACAAUCCUCCUAGAUUAUUUGAGUCUUUCUAUAAGAUAGUGAAGCCAUUCUUGGACCAUGAGACUAGCAAGAAGGUGAAGUUUGUGUAUUCCAAUGAUAAGGAGAGCCAGAAGAUAAUGGCAGAGGUCUUCGACAUGGACAAGCUCGACUCGGCAUUCGGAGGAAGGAAUCUAGCCACCUUUGAAUACAGCAGCUACGCAGAACAAAUGAAAGAGGAUGACAAGAAGAUGCAAUCUAAUGAUGCGGGCUCUGACGCUUCAAGCGAGGCUUCCUUCUACAGCGGAACAGAUUCCCCGAAGCACGAAGAUGGAGAGCACGGCGCGAUGAAGAAGGCCUGCGCCACUUAA
rnacentral:rRNA from 1 species